rnacentral:misc_RNA from 1 species
GGGAAAUAAGGUUGAGUUCCAUUGUGUUCUGACGCUUGGAAUUUCCUAACAAUUGACCUUGUGCAUUUGAAAUCUUUGCUAUAAGGCAUUCUUUUAGAGCAUUGAAAUCUUUACUUUAGGCAUUGGUUUAGUAACAGGCAUCCUAUUCUUUUCAUGCUAGUGCCUUAAAGAAGGAAGUUGUCUUUACUUUCUAACAUAAUGAGUAUUUUUCACUGAGG